CAUGAGCUAAAACUAUUAUUGGUAGAGCAGCAGGCAUUCCAUCUUAUGCAAUUGUGGGUUACCUGAGGCCACCUGGAUCUGAUCACAUUGACGCAUGAUAGUGACCUGCUGCAGCAUCAUUCCUCCACUUAAUUCAUAAAAUGUUGUUGAUGCUACAUCUGGUGGUAAAAUAGCAUAAUCACAGUAGAGGUGAUGCAUAUUUACUGUACAGUAAAUAAACCAAAGUAGUUUCCUACCGCAAAACAUGUUUAAAUGAGGGCUGUCAGUCGAUUAAAAUAUUUAAUUGCGAUGAAUCGCAUUUUGUCCAUAGUUAAGUCGGAAUUAAUCACAUUUAAUCGCAGUUAAAAAUAAGUUUUUAUCUAUAGUGGGUGGGGAUGUAAAUAAACAAUUCGAUACGCAACUACGAUAACUAGAUCACAUUUUACAUAAAGGGGUAUCAAUUUUGGAAAUAUGGGCCAUUAUUUUAUUCAAAAAUAAUAUAGUUAGAAAUCCCCCAGUUUUUGAAUGUUUAUUGCGAGCAGCGAUUUUUCCCACUGUUUGACAGUCCUUGAAUGCACCCUCUACGUUUUCCCACACUGCACAGAUAGAUUACUGUACUGUAUUCUUACCCUUUUCCCCUCACCAAAUGCUGACUCUAUGUGGGAAUGCAUAAAGGUAAGGUUCGAUGACAUUAUCGAGUGCUAAUGUGCAUAUUUGUGGUACACAACCUCUCUGGACAAACAAGUCCAGGCUCGUACCGGUGGAUGGUGGGUCUGUAUUCAUUUUGUGCUUUUAAUUUGAUGUUGUUCCAGUCAUAGUUUUACACAAUAGAUAAUAAAUAAAAUAAAUUUGAUCGUUAUAAUGUACAUAUGUUUUACUGAAGUGUUGAAGACUAGCUAGUGCACUGCUAAUGCUAGCUGCUGUUAGCGCUGCUAGCGCUGAAUUGACAGAAGCGCCUACAUAGCUGUCUUCGGCUUUGCCUGCCGUUAACUAGAAGCUCGUACCCAAAUUUUAUCUCCAAGCAAAAAAUCAGCCCUGAGACGGCUCGCUUCUAAAAAAUAAAACACUCGGUAGUUGGGAUACUUGUAUCCCAAGACACCACUGGAUAAAUGGCAAUUUUAAAAUACCGGCAGUGCUUCAGGACCUUCCCACUUCUCUCUGGCAAGCCGUCGACGACGUAGGCGGUGACAAUUCCAAUCACAGCGACAGUAGAUGCAAAUAACUGUGGUCUUGUUGCGAGAGCCAUCUGCCCGGGCUUUGAAGCUAAAUUUACCAAUCAAAAUACCCCUUUUUUUCUCCAUUUCUGCUCAAGAUUUGCUCCCGCUUGUUGCACCACGGUGACCGCUGCUUCCUCAAACUACGGCGUCGGCAGGACAUGAGGGUCAGACAGGACAUGCGUAUGUUAAUUGCUCGUCAAAAAAAAAAUAGUGCCGUUAAAGUAAACUUCCGUUAACACGUUAAUAACACGUUAACUUUGACAGGCCUACUUUAAAUAUAUACUGGUUAUAACAUGUUAAAUGAAGUGUCAUUUCAUGUAAAGUAUCCUCCACCUUGGAAUGAAUCAAACAGCUUCAUCCUUUCUUGGACAGAAAGACCCUCUUUCAAACUCUGGAAGCCAAACACACACAACAUUGCCUUUUUAACAAAUAUUUAGCUCUGAUUCGACGUAGGAGAGAGGGUUUGUCCGUUUUCUUCAGGAGAGAAGCGUUGCUUGUGUUGGCUGCACUGACGUCUAAGAAAAUGAGACCAUUAAAUACAAUUUGACAAGGCAUAUGCACCAUUUCAGCAGUUUUCAACUCUUCCCUGACUCUCCCAACAACAGCUGCCUGUCUUAGGAACUGCAUCUCGGCCUCCCUCGGCCGCAGGAUCUUCCGUGAGACAUCAAAAAGCAAGUAGAACAACAGGUGAUGCAUCAAGAAUGCAAUAAAACAGAUGAAAAACACAAAAGAACAAAUGACAGCAGAUCAAAUAUGCAACACAACACGUACUAAGACAUGAAAAACAGAGUAGAGCAAAUGGUAACGAUCUAAAAUGGAAUAAUGCAGUGUUGUACAACAAAUAGUAGCGCAGAGGAAGAAAUAGUAACACAGCAACAGCACAGCAGAACAAAUAAUAACAUAAAAAUACAGUAGGAAAAUAGCAACACCUCCAAGAAAGGCAUGAAAAAUAGCAACAGUCCCUUUGUAGGUAAGGAAGGUAGACGACAUAAUGACAAAAUGUAAUAUUUUUAUGUGAUUAUUACCUCCUCCUCAUAGAAGUCAUUGGUUUGCAACGGUGACUGUGGAUUGUUCCCAUUUGUGGCGGAAUACACUGGAGCCUUUUCAUUUGUGUCUCGCUGUAAAGACAACAAGUUACACAUGGAAAAUAUGUUUUUUUGUGUCGAUUUUUCCUCAGUUUUAACUUUUCUAAGAUAAAGUUCCUAUUCUUUAUACAGUUACAGCAGACAAAACUGUCA